GUUGGCUGCUGCUGCUUCAUGAUGCAUGGAGGGAGAAGGUGGACGAGUUAACCUGAAGCCACUGCCCGUCACGGAGCACACAGUGUCUCUCUAGCCCCCACUACCCACUGCCGCCAUGUUUAAGAACAGCCUGAAGAUGCUCCUGGGGGGCAAGGCCAACAGGAAGAGCCGCAACAGCACCGAUGGAGGGAGCGAGGAACCCAGCGAGCUGCGGAGCGCCAGCCUGGAC